UUGGCCUUCAAUCUAUCCAUGACGUCCUGAAGCUCCUGAGGCCCUUACAUAAAGAAAGUCAUUCUCAUGAGGACAUGAAGUGACCUCCGAGCAAAGUUCAAUAACAUGAUAACUGAAAGUAAAGAGAUCCAGCUUAGCACGGAAGGGAGACAUGUCAAGGCCCAGAAGGAUCGAGAAGUCAUCAACUUCACAACUAAACACCUCUAAGUCCUCUGCUCACAGAUAAUAGAGAGAGACUGUGCAUUUCGAGAAUAAGUCUCAGAAGAUAAUCUAGCAAGAAAAUCUGGAGAAGGGCCCUAUGAAGAUGUAUCCGAUCUAGUAUAUAGGGGAACCAAGCUAGGACACGACCAAGAUUCAAGUGAAAAGAAGAAGGAAAAAGAGAGUGAAGAAAGAGGCAGUCUUCUAGGGUUCGAACACCUACGGAGGCUCUCCCCUCUUACCUUUUACUUCUCGUUGAUCAAUGUUCCAAAAUGAAGCUGCUCAGGGUUUGAGUACCUAGAGGAAAUAUCCCCUUCAUCUCUUGUUCACCCCAAUUUGAAGUAUGUUAACUCGGUGCCUUCUCGAUGACUUCUUAAUUUUGAAAAUGAGAGAACUUCCAAGAGAAAAUAAUAUUCGGAAGGAUAAGAUAGAAGAUUUUUUUCCAAGAUAGCCAAGGAGAGCUUCUCUAGGGCUCGCCCCCUACAGGUCUCCCCUCCUAGGGAUUUUAUGUUCAAAGCUUGCACCAUCGUGCUCCGCGAAUCAUUAAAAAAUUUGUAGCAAGAUUUCAAUGCUGGAGAAAUUAUGCACGGUUGUCCCACCAAAGGUGUGACUCACGUGCAGGGGGCAAACCCAAGUACGACCUACUGGUGGAGGGCAGAGACAUCCUCUAGAAUAGGGGUGGAUUCCCCCCAAGCAGUAAUGAAUGUGUAUGAAGAAGAGCACACAGCGGGAAGUCGGCCCAAUAUUGCCAUCCCUGAAGGCGGCCAGAUGAGUCAGACAGGAAGCAAAAGGGACUGAAAGGGUAUUCUUGUUUCUCUAUGCACAUGCGGGGAAUGCGAUCGGAAGUGGGAAAGUCAUCCCAAACUCCACAAGCCGCUGCAUAUAGAACAAGCCUUCCUUCUCUGGCGGAGGAAAUGUUAUACGGUCAUAAGUCUAGACUUGCUCCGAAAAGAAGUUGGAAAGACCAAAGAGGGGAGCCCUUCUCCAAUCACUGAGGAACGAGGCCUCCUUGGCGAUUUUCGGGUCUGUAUAAUAUCCAACGAAGAGGGCCUGCAAGCAAGAAGAAUUCAGCAUAAAGGGCUCUAAAGAGGAGAAUUUCAUCUAAACGUUGAUUUCCCCCCAGGGUUCGGACCCCUAGGGUUCGGUCAACUGGGGUGGUUUCGCCUCAUGCAGAGCAUUUUUUCUCCUUUCCUGUUUUUCCUUGACAAGAACGUCAAAUCUUUCUUUAUUAUCCGAGGGAAAAAACCGAGAUGUAAUCAAGGUAAUGGGGCUCGGAAGACAAAAGAAAGAUUGGAGGUACCUGUAAAAAAAACAUAGGGUUUGGCCACCUAGGGGGUUGUCUCCUCUAUUCCUUUGAGGUCCUAUUGCUCCACAAAUCAACCGUUUGGAACGAGUACUCCUUCGCCACGAAAAUUAUAGCCUUUCUUUGAUAAAUUCCGAGGGAAAAAACCAAGAUAUGAUCAAGGUGAUGGGGCUCAGAAACAAAGAAAGACUACAAUCACCUGAAAAGAGAAGCGGAUGAAGUAAUCACAAAGAAUUAAUCAAAUGAAAAAUAAACACGACUAAAGGUUCACGGUUAUGUUAUGAACAUGGCACAACAGGUGUAGCAUUUCAAAAUCCACUCAUCCUUGGCAAGUCCAGAGUGUGGCCUUUAUGGUUAAACAAGGUU
rnacentral:lncRNA from 1 species